UUCUGUAGGAGCUUAUUUAGUUUCCAAAAAUAUAAAACCAUUGAUAAUUUAAUAAACUGUGGAUAUCUUGGAGAGUUGAUGCAUGCAUCCAUAGACACAAUACCUGAAGCAUAAAAGACAGAUAAAACAAAAGACAAAUAAAAGGAAAACAAAUGAAGAUGAAACAAAGAAUCCUUAAGCUUCACGCGCUUUGGCGCAAGUAAACAGAAAAGAUACUUGCCUCACCAACUUCUCCUCUGACACGAUUUAG
rnacentral:lncRNA from 1 species